AGCGAACGCUGGCGGCAGGCUUAACACAUGCAAGUCGAACGCCCGGGCAACCGGGAGUGGCAGACGGGUGAGUAACGCGUGGGAACAUACCCUUUGGUUCGGAAUAACUCAGGGAAACUUGAGCUAAUACCGGAUAAGCCCUUUUGGGGAAAGAUUUAUCGCCGAAGGAUUGGCCCGCGUCCGAUUAGCUAGUUGGUGAGGUAACGGCUCACCAAGGCGACGAUCGGUAGCUGGUCUGAGAGGAUGAUCAGCCACACUGGGACUGAGACACGGCCCAGACUCCUACGGGAGGCAGCAGUGGGGAAUAUUGGACAAUGGGGGCAACCCUGAUCCAGCCAUGCCGCGUGAGUGAUGAAGGCCCUAGGGUUGUAAAGCUCUUUCGGCGGGGACGAUAAUGACGGUACCCGCAGAAGAGGCCCCGGCUAACUUCGUGCCAGCAGCCGCCGUAAAAC
rnacentral:rRNA from 1 species